rnacentral:rRNA from 1 species
UACGUAGGGUGCGAGCGUUGUCCGGAAUUAUUGGGCGUAAAGAGCUCGUAGGCGGUUUGUCGCGUCGGCCGUGAAAUCUCCACGCUUAACGUGGAGCGUGCGGUCGAUACGGGCAGACUUGAGUUCGGUAGGGGAGACUGGAAUUCCUGGGGUAGCGGUGAAAUGCGCAGAUAUCAGGAGGACCACCGGUGGCGAAGGCGGGUCUCUGGGCCGAUACUGACGCUGAGGAAUGAAAGCGUGGGGAGCGAACAGG